UACGAAGGGGGCUAGCGUUGUUCGGAAUCACUGGGCGUAAAGCGCACGUAGGCGGAUACUUAAGUCAGGGGUGAAAUCCCGGGGCUCAACCUCGGAACUGCCUUUGAUACUGGGUAUCUUGAGUCCGGGAGAGGUUGGUGGAACUCCGAGUGUAGAGGUGAAAUUCGUAGAUAUUCGGAAGAACACCAGUGGCGAAGGCGGCCAACUGGCCCGGUACUGACGCUGAGGUGCGAAAGCGUGGGGAGCAAAC
rnacentral:rRNA from 1 species